CGGCGAGGCAAGCGGAGCGGGGACACGGAGCCGUUGCUCCGGAACCAGCGGAAACCUCCUCCGAGAGCAGUCGGGAGCCUGCCCCAGCAGCUCGCGUGAUCGCCGGAGACGCUGCGGCCGCCACCGCCGCUCCAACCCGGCCUCUCGCGCUCCUUGCCGCCGGCUCGCCUGGGCGGCCGGGAUGCAGCCGGGGCAUGGCCGCCAGGGCCCCGUCACCUGCCGCGGGGAACGCUGAACCCGGUGGCUGUGGCACAGACGCUAAACAAGAGAGGAUGACAGAAAACAAGGAUGAGCCGGGCUAUUUCCCCGUCAGCCACACACGUUCUCAAGGAAGGGAGAUGUGGACUCCAGAAUCCUCCUUACAAGUAAAAAUGGAAAAAUAAAAGCAAAAACAACAAGAACAACAACCCUUCCCUUCUCUCCAGUCUCCACUCCUGCACAGUACACAGCCAGCUCCCACCUCCCCUGACUGAGAGAGAGGCUCCUGCUAUCUCUGGUCACACCCACCCACUGAGGGGGGUCUCCAGUUUCCUGUUAGGCCCUGAGGCAGAAGACUCCUAGCCACAGUUCUCCUUCAAGAUCCCACUACCUAAGGCCAGGACGCUGCUUUCCCAGCAGAAGGACCCCGUGCACAUUUCUAGUGCUGCUUUGCCCAGUUACAGCUUUGCUCAUUGUACAGACUGAGACCUUUCGCUGGGGUCUCAGGGACAGGAGCAAGGUGCAGAGCCGCUCUCCUCGCUCCGCAUUCCUCAGAGCGUGCAGUCCCACCACCUCACAUGCCAGUAGGGCCAUCUCGGCUGCAACCCCCUUUAGUUAGGUUUGUCUUGUUGUGAUAAGCGCCAUGACCAAGGCAACUUGUAGAAAGAUGACUUUAUUUGGAGUUACUGAGUCUGGGAAGUGGAGUAAAGGCACGGAGGUUGGAGCAGGAAGCGUGGGCUGUAAGUGGGAACCAGAGAGGAGUCAUUAGAUUCUCGAAACCUACCCUCGGUGCCAUGCUUUUUCCAACAAGGGCACACCUCCUAAACUUUCCCACACAGUGCCACCAACUGGGGACAGGGUCGUCAGAUGGGGGACAAUUCAUUGAAACCCACCACAUACGUUUUGUAAGAAACCAGUCCUGUUUGCAGGUAAAGAAAGACGAUAUUUCCAUCUCUCUGUGGUUCCCCUUGAUGCAGCUGGAUAUGGGGAGACGAGGUUACCAAAGUGACCUUUUGUACUAGAGGUGGGCUCCUGGUCUUGCUUUAAAAUCUCCCUUCACCCAAACAAACAAACAAACAAACCCAAAUGUGACCUCACGCUAGAUUCUUCGCUGCUGGGCACGUGAGACCGAGACAGUUGCACGCAGACCCGAGAGCCGUUCAGAUUUCUGACUGUGAGCAUUUCAGACACCAAGGGCUGUGGCUCAGCUCACUGGUGUUCCCCUGUCCCUGUCACCAGCCUCAACUUAAAGAUGACGGCAGCAGGGGUGGUGGCCCCCACUGUCUCCAGGGUGAAUGUCUUAGGGACGGGGAAAGCAGCAGUUCACAUGCCAGGCCUUGAACGAGAAGCGUUUUCGAAUGAGGACAGACGAGCUGGCUGCUCUUCAGGUGUGGCUCUGUAUGAGAUCCACUGAGGCCCAAAGACACGAGCUUUAUGUGGAUCCAGGGGGAUGGAAAGAUGACUCAGGAAUAAAGGGCUCUGGCUAAUUUCCUGGAGGACCGGAGUUCGACUCCCAGGAGCCUACAUGGUGGCUCAUGCUGUCUGUUAUUUCAGUCCCAGGAGAUCCAAUGCCCUCUUCUGGCCUCGAAAGGGC
ensembl:lncRNA